GAUGAACGCUGGCGGCGUGCUUAACACAUGCAAGUCGAACGGAAAGGCCCAAGCUUGCUUGGGUACUCGAGUGGCGAACGGGUGAGUAACACGUGGGUGAUCUGCCCUGCACUUCGGGAUAAGCCUGGGAAACUGGGUCUAAUACCGGAUAGGACCACAUUUUGGAUGGUGUGGUGGAAAGUGUUUCGGUGUGGGAUGAGCUCGCGGCCUAUCAGCUUGUUGGUGGGGUAAUGGCCUACCAAGGCGUCGACGGGUAGCCGGCCUGAGAGGGUGUACGGCAAGAGUGGGACUGAGAGACGGCACAGAGGCAGACGGGAGGCAGCAGUGGGGAUGAUGGCAGAAGGGGCGGAAGUCGGAUGCAGCAACGCCGCGUGCGGGAGGACGGACUUCGGGUUGUAAACAGCUUUCGCCUGUGAAGAAGCGUGAGGGACGGUAAUGGGUAAAGAAGCACCGGCGAACUACGUG
rnacentral:rRNA from 1 species